UACGUAGGGUGCGAGCGUUGUCCGGAAUUACUGGGCGUAAAGAGCUCGUAGGUGGUUUGUCGCGUUGUUCGUGAAAUCUCACGGCUUAACUGUGAGCGUGCGGGCGAUACGGGCAGACUAGAGUACUGCAGGGGGAGACUGGAAUUCCUGGUGUAGCGGUGGAAUGCGCAGAUAUCAGGAGGAACACCGGUGGCGAAGGCGGGUCUCUGGGCAGUAACUGACGCUGAGGAGCGAAAGCGUGGGGGAGCGAACAGG
rnacentral:rRNA from 1 species